AGUUUGGCCACGAAAUGUUGUAAAAUGCGGAAAACAUAACUCUGCAAAAUUUGCAAAUUUUGUAUUAAUUUGUAUUACGUGCGGGAAAAUGCAUCACAUUUGGGCCGAAAGUGGUGCAAAUUCCCGUGUGCGUAAUAAGAGUAAUACAAAUUGAUACAAAAUUUAGAAAUUUCGUAGGGCUAUAUUUUCCUCAUUUUAACCGAACAUUUCGCAACCAAACU